rnacentral:lncRNA from 1 species
UUGGAAGAUAAAGGUAAUUAUGCAUCGUAAAUUAAUUUACAGAUCUAAUGCAUGAUUUCAAAAACCGGGCUCUAAUACCAAUUGUAAGCAUAAAAAUCUGUAAUUAUGCUAAGUCAAUAAUGCGGAAUUAACCUAAAUGCCAGGAUUGAAAUCAAUACAUAGAUCUAAUUAUACGAUGCGUACCUUUUGAUGCCAUCCGUUUAGAGAUCUUGUUUGAUCUGCUCAGCACCGUGAUCCAAGAUUGCUGCAGG